rnacentral:rRNA from 1 species
GCGCAAGCCUGAUCCAGCAAUACCGCGUGUGUGAAGAAGGCCUGAGGGUUGUAAAGCACUUUCAAUAGGGAGGAACACCUGGCGGCCAACACCCGCCAGACUGACAUUACCUAUACAAGAAGCACCGGCUAACUCCGUGCCAGCAGCCGCGGUAAUACGGAGGGUGCGAGCGUUAAUCGGAAUUACUGGGCGUAAAGCGUGCGUAGGCGGCCCGUCAAGUCAGAUGUGAAAGCCCCGGGCUCAACCUGGGAACUGCAUUUGAAACUGGCGGGCUAGAGUUUGGUAGAGGGGAGCGGAAUUUCAGGUGUAGCGGUGAAAUGCGUAGAUAUCUGAAGGAACACCAGUGGCGAAGGCGGCUCCCUGGACCAGAACUGACGCUGAGGUAC